rnacentral:tRNA from 1 species
CGCGGGGUGGAGCAGCUCGGUAGCUCGCUGGGCUCAUAACCCAGAGGUCGCAGGUUCGAAUCCUGCCCCGCUACCA